ACUUCACAGCCAUGUAAAGCACGCACCCACAGAUAUAUAACUAUAUCACCACCAUCCUUUCGUUGUCGGGGUUGAUUGAGAUGGGCAUGGCGUCCGGGCAGCUGGUGGUGGUGCUGCUCCUCCUGGUUUCAUGCUUGCAGGUUCCGAUGGCAGCGAGGGUGGUGGAAGGGAAGUCGUGGGUCGAGCGCCGCCGCAUCUUGCCGCAGUCUACAAAACCGACGUCGAGGCUUUCGAAUUGCACCCAUGAUCGCACCAAGAGUGGCCGAGCUUGUUUCCACAAACAAAAGCAUCGAAGGUCUAUACUCUCUUCGGAGACUGACUAUUCUAUCCUGCGACAUGUUAUUCCAGUGGUUAUUUACUUUUAGUAUUUCGAUUCAUAUAUUUUAAAAAAAUUAUUGACAUCUAACAAUAAAUUAUCUAAUUUCAUUUAUCCUAACAUCAUUGAUUUUAAUAACAAAAAUAUAAAAAUAAAAUAAAAUUAAAAAUUUUAGAUGAUGAUAACGAUGAUAACGAACAGUGGUGAUGGACAAUGAUAUCACGAGAAGCCGUAGGUGGUUGAAUAAUUUUACCUUCAUCUCAUCUAUAAUAAUUACUCGUAGUCCCCAACAACACUGUCGUUUAUUACUAUCGACGUCGUCCAUCAUCACUAAUUGAAACGUUAAAAUUAUUGUUUUUAUAUUUUUAAAAACAAAAUUAAUAUCAUUAGGAUAAAUAUAUCCAGAUGUUUUACCUUUAUGAUUAUAAAAAUAUUGAUAUAUAUUUUUUAAAAUAAAAAAAUUAAAAUAUUAAAUAUAAAAAUUAAGUAAAAAAUGAAUAUGUAAUUAGUCUUAAUCGUGACUGACAGGAAAUUCUCUCUCUCGAAGGGGGAAGUUGCAGCUUCCAUAUAUUUCGUUUGUGUUUUCUCGCUUUCUCGAUACUUUGGGUUGUACCUAAUAAAUUGCAUGGACUAUAUGAUUGACCGCAUCAGGCUUGUCACAAUCAAAAAGCACUUGCCAUCACGAAGGACGUGAGAAGAGGCUGCCUCGACCGACCCUUUAUCUCCACCUCCGCGUGUUGCUGUUAGAAAUUUCCUUAAAAUCUCUGACAUGACACAUCAAGCAGCAGCCACGUACACCCUCCACGUCAGGUGGGACCAUUUGGUACCUCAUCUGUCAGUCUUCCGUUGACUAAAUAAAAUUAGGUUAGUGCAUGAUCAUGUAAAUUUGUAAUAAUCGAGGUUGAGAUUUGCGAAAAGGGAAAUUGAAAGACG
rnacentral:lncRNA from 1 species